GCUGUAGUGGCUCAGUGGUAGAGCAUCUGCCUUGUCAUGCAGGGCGUCACAGGUUCAAUUCCCAGUAUCUCCAGGUAGAGCU